rnacentral:RNase_P_RNA from 1 species
CAGGUCGGUCGGGCGAUCGCGGGAAGCUGCCUGGCAGCUUCUCGAGGAAAGUCCGCACUCCACAGAGCACGGCGCCGGGUAACACCCGGGGCGGGGGCCGGUUCGCCGGUUACCUGCCGGAUCGGGCCACAGAAACAGGCUGCCGGAGCAAUUCGGUCAUGGUGAAAAGGUGGUGUAAGAGACCACCGGCGCGCCCAGCAAUGGGCUCGGCCAGGCAACCCCUGCCGGGAGCAAGGUCAAACAGGGACAACGAGGCGGCUCGUCUCAAAGCUUCUUCGGAAGCGGGAGUUCCGGGUAGGCUGCUAGAGCCAUGCGGCGACGUAUGGCCCAGAUAGAUGAUCGCCGGGCGAAGAUUCCCCUUCGCUCACAGAAUGCGGCUUAUAGACUGGCCUGGGUA